UUGGCCCUGAAUCAAGGCCAGUAGUUUGCUGAAGCUGUUGGUUUCAAGCAGGAGCCUAAAGAAAGUGCCUUUCUAUGGUCUGUUGGCCAUUUCAGAACUGUGGAAGUGUAAUGGUCAGUUCAUUAGAAAGAAACAUCU
ensembl:snoRNA